rnacentral:rRNA from 1 species
UGAGUAACACGUGAAUAAUCUACCUCCGACUGGGGAAGUAACUGAGAGAAAUCUUAGCUAAUACCGCAUAACACUUACGAGUCAAAGCAGUAAUGCGCUUGGAGAGGAGUUCGCGGCCGAUUAGUUAGUUGGCGGGGUAAUGGCCCACCAAGACGAUGAUCGGUAUCCGGCCUGAGAGGGCGCACGGACACACUGGAACUGAAACACGGUCCAG